rnacentral:rRNA from 1 species
UGGGGAAUUUUCCGCAAUGGGCGCAAGCCUGACGGAGCAAUACCGCGUGAGGGAGGAAGGCUUUUGGGUUGUAAACCUCUUUUCUCAAGGAAGAAGCACUGACGGUACUUGAGGAAUCAGCAUCGGCUAACUCCGUGCCAGCAGCCGCGGUAAUACGGAGGAUGCAAGCGUUAUUCGGAAUUAUUGGGCGUAAAGCGUCUGUAGGUGGUUUAAGAAGUCUGCUGUUAAAUAUUAGAGCUUAACUCUGAAAAAGCAGUGGAAACUGUUAGGCUAGAGUAUGGUAUGGGUAGAGGGAAUUUCCAGUGUAGCGGUGAAAUGCGUAGAUAUUGGGAAGAACACCAGUAGCGAAAGCGCUCUACUAGACCAUUACUGACACUCAGAGACGAAAGCUAGGGGAGUGAAUGGGAUUAGAUACCCCUGUAGUCC